rnacentral:siRNA from 1 species
AGAAACCAGAACAUCCCAAUUGUG